AAUGGAAUAUGAGCCAGUCUUAAAUGCCAAAUGUAAUUCAUGUCAUUGGCAUCAGUUUUAUUAUUACAAAUGGAACUAUUUACAUUGGAAUUCAAAACAACAGAUUUAUGGUCAGAAGAACAAACAUGAGUACAAGAAUCAGAAAUGGAGCAUACAGAAGCAGAGGAACAACAAUUAACAGAAGAAGGUGAAGAGGGCACCCAAGAGAAUUUGUACAGACCAGCCUCCUCUUUACCAAG
rnacentral:lncRNA from 1 species